UAAAGAAUAAGGAUCGGCUAACUCCGUGCCAGCAGCCGCGGUAAUACGGAGGAUCCAAGCGUUAUCCGGAUUUAUUGGGUUUAAAGGGUGCGUAGGCGGCGUUGUAAGUCAGUGGUGAAAGUUUGCAGCUUAACUGUAAAAUUGCCAUUGAUACUGCAGUGCUUGAGUACAGAUGAGGUGGGCGGAAUGUGUCAUGUAGCGGUGAAAUGCAUAGAUAUGACACAGAACACCGAUUGCGAAGGCAGCUCACUAAACUGUAACUGACGCUGAGGCACGAAAGCGUGGGGAUCAAACAGGAUUAGAUACCCUGGUAGUCCACGCCCUAAACGAUGAUUACUCGAUGUUAGCGAUAUACAGUUAGCGUCAAAGCGAAAGCGUUAAGUAAUCCACCUGGGGAGUACGCCGGCAACGGUGAAACUCAAAGGAAUUGACGGGGGCCCGCACAAGCGGAGGAGCAUGUGGUUUAAUUCGAUGAUACGCGAGGAACCUUACCCGGGCUUGAAAGUUAGUGAAUGAACCAGAAAUGGAUCAGUCCGCAAGGACACGAAACUAGGUGCUGCAUGGCUGUCGUCAGCUCGUGCCGUGAGGUGUUGGGUUAAGUCCCGCAACGAGCGCAACCCCUAUGUUUAGUUGCCAGCACGUAAUGGUGGGGACUCUAAACAGACUGCCUACGCAAGUAGAGAGGAAGGAGGGGACGACGUCAAGUCAUCAUGGCCCUUACGUCCGGGGCUACACACGUGCUACAAUGGUCGAUACAGAGGGCAGCAAGCUAGCAAUAGUAAGCAAAUCUCAAAAAGUCGAUCACAGUUCGGAUUGGGGUCUGCAACUCGACCCCAUGAAGUUGGAUUCGCUAGUAAUCGCAUAUCAGCAAUGAUGCGGUGAAUACGUUCCCGGGCCUUGUACACACCGCCCGUCAAGCCAUGAAAGCUGGGGGAACCUGAAGUCUGUCACCGCAAGGAGCGGCCUAGGUAAA
rnacentral:rRNA from 2 species